rnacentral:tRNA from 1 species
CUCGCCAUAGCUCAGUUGGAAGAGCACCGGACUGUAAAGUAAAACAUUCAUCCGUAGGUCCCCCGUUCGAACCGGGGUGGUGAGA